CAACAAGUUUUGUUGCCACUUUUCAAGAUAUAUUAACAUCGAAAACUCGACUUUACGCCAAAAAAAUCGAUUUCUGGACCACAGUUCACUGCGAGUAUUCUUACUCGAACCAAUUCCCACACAAAUAAUGGCGUGCAAGUCGGAGCCAGCAGCAGCGCAGUGGAGCAACUGGUGGAGUGCAAAAAUAGGAAAAUAGGAAUUGCAGAAGGCGGGAUACUUGGCCGCCGUAUGCGAACACAAUGCCCGAGAACCGGCGAUACGGUCUGGUGAUAACAAACCAGAGUUCGGACGCGGACGGUGUGGACACCGUUGCCCUAAUUGUGAACGCCAACCGACGCCGAUGCAAUGCCGCGCUGUUCUUCUUACUUAUGACGGGGAUUUCAUCUGGCGCUGCUGUUUGCCACCAUAGGCUUCAUACCUCAACCUUAGCUAACAUGGUGCAUACAUGACGUUCGACUCCAGCAUGCUAGUGGUCUGCGAGGAUGAGGAAACAGCCCAAUGGGUCAUGUCAGCCGUCUAUGGUAUGUGCCCGCCGCACUCCUGCCAGCCCUUAAUCGAGUUCUUCGGCCUCCUGAGGACGUGAGGAGUCGCAGAACCCGGGCCUAAACACCGACAAGUGGGCCGUGGUCAAUCGCUCCACCCUAGACUGCAAUGAUGUGGAGCGGCAGGUCCCUCAGUUCUGCGACAACAUCGUGAUAGAGCUGUAUGUCAAUGAGGAAAGUAGGGAAUUCAUCGCCGAACGAUGCUUUACACUACGUUACUGCUUCUGGCAACAUCGAUUCAGUUUUGAUUGCUAGGACGUUUUUGGGUUU
rnacentral:misc_RNA from 1 species